rnacentral:rRNA from 1 species
CCUGCGGAAGGAUCAUUACAGAGUUCAUGCCCUCACGGGUAGAUCUCCCACCCUUGAAUAUUAUACCUUCGUUGCUUUGGCAGGCCGUAGAAACACCAGAGGCUCCGGCUGAUGCGUGCCUGCCAGAGGAAACAAACUCUGUUUUUAGUGAUGUCUGAGUACUAUAUAAUAGUUAAAACUUUCAACAACGGAUCUCUUGGUUCUGGCAUCGAUGAAGAACGCAGCGAAAUGCGAUAAGUAAUGUGAAUUGCAGAAUUCAGUGAAUCAUCGAAUCUUUGAACGCACAUUGCGCCCCGUGGUAUUCCGCGGGGCAUGCCUGUUCGAGCGUCAUUUCAACCCAUCAAGCUUCGGCUUGGUCUUGGGGCCUGCGGUUUCGCAGCCUCUAAACCCAGUGGCGGUGCUAUUGAGCUCUGAGCGUAGUAAUUUCUCUCGCUAUAGAGUCUCGGUGGUGACUUGCCAACAACCCCCAAUUUUUAUCAGGUUGACCUCGGAUCAGGUAGGGAUACCCGCUGAACUUAAGCAUAUCAAUAAGCGGAGGA